rnacentral:lncRNA from 1 species
GCGGUUUCCCUUAUGCUGUUCUUGUGAUAGUGAGUGAGUUCUCACGAGAUCUGACGGUUUUAUAAGGGGCUCUUCCCCCUUCACCCAACACUUCUCCCUUCUGCCACUUUGUGAAGAAGGUGCCUUGCUUUCCCGUUCCCAUUCUACCAUGAUUGUGAAUUUCCUGAGGCCUCCCCAGCCGUGCUCAACUACGGAGUCUCUGACACCCAGGCUGGAGUGAGGGGUGCAAUCUCAGCUCACCGCAAGCUCCGCCUCCCAGGUUCAAGCAAUACUCCCACCUCAGCCUCUUGAGUAGCUGGGAUUAACAGGCGCCCGCCACCAUGCCCAAAUGAUUUUUGCAUUUUUAGUAGAGACGGGAUUUCACGAUGUUGACCAGGGUGGCCUCAAAUUCCUGACCUCAGGUGAUCCACCCGCCUUGGCCUCCCAACGUGCUGGGAUUAAAGGUUACUGCCUAGACCACACCCCAUCCUCGCUCUGGCUUGGGGACCUGAGCUCUAGUUGAAGAGUGUUUGAAGGUUGCUGACAACCAUCGCUUCAUCUAUCUGCCAUGGUGCCUGAGAUCACACCAUUAGAAAGUCACUUGUUUGGUUAAAGAUGAGAAAACUGAGGCACAGAGCAGG